ACUGGAAAUUUUAUUUCUAGUGAUUGGAAUGAUGGGAAUUUAAACCCCUUUCAGAGUAACAAAUGGAGGGCAAGUCUGGUGCCAGCAGCCGCGGUAAUUCCAGCUCCAAUAGCGUAUAUUAAAGUUGUUGCAGUUAAAAAGCUCGUAGUUGGAUGUCUGCUGGAAGCAAUCAGUCCGCCCUAUUUGUAGGGUGUGCACUUGAUGAAUUCUGGCAUCUAUAUCCCAAUAAUAUGAUGGUGUAUACCCUGUGUACACCCAUCUAUAUUGGGAUAAUACCGUUACUUUGAGAAAAUUAGAGUGUUUGAAGCAGGCUAAUUGCCUUGAAUACUGCAGCAUGGAAUAACAAUAUAGGAUUUCGGUUCUAUUUUGUUGGUUUCUAGGACUGAAAUAAUGAUUAAUAGGGACAGUUGGGGGCAUUUGUAUUUAACUGUCAGAGGUGAAAUUCUUAGAUUUGUUAAAGACGAACUACUGCGAAAGCAUUUGCCAAAGAUGUUUUCAUUAAUCAAGAACGAAAGUUAGGGGCUCGAAGACGAUCAGAUACCGUCGUAGUCUUAACCAUAAACUAUGCCGA
rnacentral:rRNA from 1 species